rnacentral:rRNA from 1 species
UACGAAGGGGGCUAGCGUUGCUCGGAAUCACUGGGCGUAAAGGGUGCGUAGGCGGGUCUUUUAAGUCAGGGGUGAAAUCCUGGAGCUCAACUCUAGAACUGCCCUUGAUACUGGCGGUCUCGAGUCCGGGAGAGGUGAGUGGAACUGCGAGUGUAGAGGUGAAAUUCGUAGAUAUUCGCAAGAACACCAGUGGCGAAGGCGGCUCACUGGCCCGGUACUGACGCUGAGGUGCGAAAGCGUGGGGAGCAAACAGG